rnacentral:ribozyme from 1 species
GCUCAGAAUCCAUGACCUAUGUGUCAAUUAUCUUUUCUGAAGAAGCUGCUGCAUCAUGUAUUCGCGAACUGGGCGUAAUGGGGUGCAUUCAGUUCACCGAUUUAAACCCUGAAUUGACUC